GUCUGAUAUGGACCUGGAUAUGUAGUAUAGUUUUUUCCACUCAUCCAUUCCAAUUUGUAUCCCUCUCCAACUCUACUCAAAAGGAAACAACAUAUGCACACCUGCUGUAUUGAUACAAUUAUUUUAUUCAUCCAGAAAAUAAUUACAGAGGACCAACAAUCUGCCACAUUUUAUGCCAGGUCCUGGAGAUACAAAGAUAUCAUUCCAGACCAGGGGAAGCCAACAGCCUAACAGGGAGAUAGACAUGCUAACAAACCAUUAUGAUGAAAUAUAUGCACGCCAAAAUGGGAGUGUACAUUAGCCAUAAAUGGAAGCAUAGGAAAAGAAAUAACUAGCUGUCAGGUAAGACUUCAUAGGAGAGGUGAUGCUUGAGCUAAGACUUUAAGAAUGUUUCGGAAUUUUCCAGAACAUUCCCAGACUAGUCUGCUGCAGGAUGAGACACUCCAGCAGAGGCAAACGGCCCAGUUACAACCAAGCCCCGCAGCAAGCCACCACCCAGCCGUGUGACGGAGCCCAGCCAAGAUCCACAGAGACGCCUAACAACUAUUUCAACAUGGGAUCAAUGAAUGCUUAUUGUUCUAUGCCCCUGA